rnacentral:rRNA from 1 species
GCCUAACACAUGCAAGUCGAGCGGACAGAUGGGAGCUUGCUCCCUGAUGUUAGCGGCGGACGGGUGAGUAACACGUGGGUAACCUGCCUGUAAGACUGGGAUAACUCCGGGAAACCGGGGCUAAUACCGGAUGGUUGUUUGAACCGCAUGGUUCAGACAUAAAAGGUGGCUUCGGCUACCACUUACAGAUGGACCCGCGGCGCAUUAGCUAGUUGGUGAGGUAACGGCUCACCAAGGCGACGAUGCGUAGCCGACCUGAGAGGGUGAUCGGCCACACUGGGACUGAGACACGGCCCAGACUCCUACGGGAGGCAGCAGUAGGGAAUCUUCCGCAAUGGACGAAAGUCUGACGGAGCAACGCCGCGUGAGUGAUGAAGGUUUUCGGAUCGUAAAGCUCUGUUGUUAGGGAAGAACAAGUGCCGUUCAAAUAGGGCGGCACCUUGACGGUACCUAACCAGAAAGCCACGGCUAACUACGUGCCAGCAGCCGCGGUAAUACGUAGGUGGCAAGCGUUGUCCGGAAUUAUUGGGCGUAAAGGGCUCGCAGGCGGUUUCUUAAGUCUGAUGUGAAAGCCCCCGGCUCAACCGGGGAGGGUCAUUGGAAACUGGGGAACUUGAGUGCAGAAGAGGAGAGUGGAAUUCCACGUGUAGCGGUGAAAUGCGUAGAGAUGUGGAGGAACACCAGUGGCGAAGGCGACUCUCUGGUCUGUAACUGACGCUGAGGAGCGAAAGCGUGGGGAGCGAACAGGAUUAGAUACCCUGGUAGUCCACGCCGUAAACGAUGAGUGCUAAGUGUUAGGGGGUUUCCGCCCCUUAGUGCUGCAGCUAACGCAUUAAGCACUCCGCCUGGGGAGUACGGUCGCAAGACUGAAACUCAAAGGAAUUGACGGGGGCCCGCACAAGCGGUGGAGCAUGUGGUUUAAUUCGAAGCAACGCGAAGAACCUUACCAGGUCUUGACAUCCUCUGACAAUCCUAGAGAUAGGACGUCCCCUUCGGGGGCAGAGUGACAGGUGGUGCAUGGUUGUCGUCAGCUCGUGUCGUGAGAUGUUGGGUUAAGUCCCGCAACGAGCGCAACCCUUGAUCUUAGUUGCCAGCAUUCAGUUGGGCACUCUAAGGUGACUGCCGGUGACAAACCGGAGGAAGGUGGGGAUGACGUCAAAUCAUCAUGCCCCUUAUGACCUGGGCUACACACGUGCUACAAUGGACAGAACAAAGGGCAGCGAAACCGCGAGGUUAAGCCAAUCCCACAAAUCUGUUCUCAGUUCGGAUCGCAGUCUACAACUCGACUGCGUGAAGCUGGAAUCGCUAGUAAUCGCGGAUCAGCAUGCCGCGGUGAAUACGUUCCAGGGCCUUGUACACACCGCCC